rnacentral:rRNA from 1 species
CCUACGGGAGGCAGCAGUGGGGAAUUUUGGACAAUGGGCGCAAGCCUGAUCCAGCAAUGCCGCGUGAGUGAAGAAGGCCUUCGGGUUGUAAAGCUCUUUUGUCAGGGAAGAAACGGUGAGAGCUAAUAUCUCUUGCUAAUGACGGUACCUGAAGAAUAAGCACCGGCUAACUACGUGCCAGCAGCCGCGGUAAUACGUAGGGUGCAAGCGUUAAUCGGAAUUACUGGGCGUAAAGCGUGCGCAGGCGGUUUUGUAAGUUUGUCGUGAAAUCCCCGGGCUCAACCUGGGAAUGGCGAUGAAGACUGCAAGGCUAGAGUUUGGCAGAGGGGGGUAGAAUUCCACGUGUAGCAGUGAAAUGCGUAGAUAUGUGGAGGAACACCGAUGGCGAAGGCAGCCCCCUGGGUCAAAACUGACGCUCAUGCACGAAAGCGUGGGGAGCAAACAGGAUUAGAUACCCUGGUAGUCCACGCCCUAAACGAUGUCUACUAGUUGUCGGGUCUUAAUUGACUUGGUAACGCAGCUAACGCGUGAAGUAGACCGCCUGGGGAGUACGGUCGCAAGAUUAAAACUCAAAGGAUUGACCGGNNGAGAGNGCGAGACGACGACGAGGGAGGAGG